rnacentral:rRNA from 1 species
UACGGGGGGAGCAAGCGUUGUUCGGAAUUACUGGGCGUAAAGGGUGCGUAGGCCGCACGGGCAGUCAAAUGUGUAAUUCAGGGGCUCAACCCCUGCACUGCGCUUGAUACUUCCGUGCUCGAACCUUGGAGAGGAGUCUGGAAUUCUCGGUGUAGCAGUGAAAUGCGUAGAUAUCGUGAGGAAGACCAGUGGCGAAAGCGAAUCUCUGGACAGAUCCUGACGCUGAUGCACGAAGGCUAGGGGAGCAAACGGG